AACGAACGCUGGCGGCAGGCUUAACACAUGCAAGUCGAACGCUCCGCAAGGAGAGUGGCAGACGGGUGAGUAACACGUGGGAACGUACCCUUUACUACGGAACAACUCCGGGAAACUGGAGCUAAUACCGUAUGUGCCCUUCGGGGAAAGAUUUAUCGGUAAAGGAUCGGCCCGCGUUGGAUUAGCUAGUUGGUGGGGUAAAGGCCUACCAAGGCGACGAUCCAUAGCUGGUCUGAGAGGAUGAUCAGCCACAUUGGGACUGAGACACGGCCCAA
rnacentral:rRNA from 1 species